CGCGUGGUGGAGCAGCUUGGUAGCUCGUCGGGCUCAUAACCCGAAGGUCGUUGGUUCAAAUCCGGCCCCCGCAACCA
rnacentral:tRNA from 1 species